rnacentral:rRNA from 1 species
GACAGAGGGUGCAAACGUUGCUCGGAAUUACUGGGCGUAAAGCGCGUGUAGGCGGUUUCGCAAGUCAGGUGUGAAAGCCCGGGGCUCAACCCCGGAAGUGCACUUGAUACUACGGAGCUGGAGUACUGAAGAGGAGAGCGGAAUUCCCGGUGUAGAGGUGAAAUUCGUAGAUAUCGGGAGGAACACCGAUGGCGAAGGCAGCUCACUGGGACGGUACUGACGCUGAGGCGCGAAAGCGUGGGGAGCAAACAGG